GUGGAUGAAAUCAAGGCUUGCUGCUGACAAAAUAUAAAUCAUGCCAUAUGAUGCCAAUUCUAAAAUGCCAUUAAUUCUCCUCCAUUAACCCCUGCAGAGUAUUCACUGACUGCUGAAACUAGAGCAUCACUGAGAAGCAAGAGAUAGACUGACCUAACUAGAGGGAGAGCUGCCAUCCAGGAUGAUGCCACCAUCACAGGAGGUGAGAAGGAACACAGCAUCUUCUGCAAAUGCUACAGUAAAUAGGGACGGGGUGCAGCAAUGUGAGGAAAGUGGAAUGAACUUGGACUUUGAAGGCAAACUAACCUGGAAUCAAAUACUGGCUCUGCUGUUUGCAAGUGUGAUCUUUGGGUAUGCUUCCUAAUCUGUGAGCUUCAACUUCCUCCUCUGUAAACCAAGAUCAAAGACAAACAGGGAAACCUACUUGUCUGGUGCCCAUCCCCUUGGCAGAACACUCCUCUGAAGGAUGACAGUUUGGCUGUGCCAGGGCAGAGCUGCCGACACCAAAUGAGCCUUCAUAGCAACUAUCUGAUGAGGAACUCACUGGCCUACCUUUCCUUGACAGCUGGGGCCUGCCAGCCUUGAAGCAUGACUCCACAACGCCCCUACCCAAGGCCAUGGAGGUUGCUGCUGAUGAGCAAGCUGUUUUAUAUUUAAUCCAGGUUUCUGCUUGGAGAGGAAGAAGGUAGAGGAGCCAGCGAAGGUUUGUCUGAAUGAUACUUGCAGAAAAAACACUGGUAACAGUCACAAAACUUUGAAAAUUAAAGUGCCAGCGAGGUGGCUUUUGGUGGCCAGAUGAAAGCUGUUAACCCCAGCUUUUACAAAUGCUGGGCUUUGAGUAAGAGGAGAGUGUCUUUCUGGAAAAGUUUGAGACCUCUUACUAUUGUAGCAGCAAAAGCAUCCACGGCUAGUGUUUUCCAAGCUCACUGCUACUUGUUGCAGUCUAGCAGUGUUGUGUCUCCUGAAAUUCCUACCUUUCUUGAUGGAUGUAAAAGAAGUACCAAUUUAUUAAGCUCCUAGUAUGUGCCAGAUGCUCCAUAUAUGUUACUUUUGAUCUUCAGAACCACUCAGCAACUUACUGCUUCUCCUCACUCCCAAUUACAUAGAUGAUGAAAUUGAAGCAGAGUAGUUUGUCUAGGAUUACAGAGCUAGGAGGGACCAGAGUUGGGAUUCUCCCUCAGUUCUAAUACACAGUAUGCUACAUUUCCUGUCGAGUAGUAACAAAGCUUCUAAGAAAUCUGAGUUUUCAUUUGUUAAAACUGAAUUUUUAAGAAAUGUAGACAGGAGCACUAAGUACUCUAUAGUUUAACGUUAAUAAUGGUACAAGUAUAUAACCAGUUUCUCAUGCACUGGCAUAACAUACUUCAGAGGGUACACCAGGGCUGGAUGAAUAUCUGAACCCAAAAAUAUCUGAGACAGGUCUCAGUUAACUUAGAAAGUUUAUUUUUCCAAUUUUGAGGACAUGCACCCAUGACACAGCCUCAGGUGGUCCUGACGACAUGUGCCCAAGGUAGUUAGGGCAAAGCUUUUUUUUAUACACUUUAGAGAGACAGGAGAUAUCAAUCAAUAUAUGUAAGAUGUACAUUGGUUAUGUCCAGAAAGACAGGACAACUAAAGCAGGGAGGGGGCUUCCAGGUCUUAUGUAGGUGAGAGAUAAAUGGUUGCAUUCCUUUGAGUUUCUGACUAGCUUUUCCAAAGGAGGCAAUCAAAUAUGCAUUUAUCUCAGUGAGCAGAGGGGUGACUUUGAAUAGAAUGGGAGGCAGGUUUGCCCUAAACAGUUCCCAGCUUGACUUUUCCGUUUAGCUUAGUGAUGUUGGGGCCCUGAGAUUUAUUUUCCUUUCACACUUCUUCCAUUUUCUUUUUAAAAAUCUUUUGAAGAAAGCAUUUUAGAAGAAAAUGAGUCUCUGCUCUCAUGGCUAGGAUAGUUUAUUCCUACAGGGGUAGGUCCCAAGUUAUUAGGAAAGCUCAUUUUUAGCAGAUUGAGAAGUCUCAUGUCCUGUGAAGAGACAAUAGUAGGAGGAAGGGAGAAAAACAACAAACAAGAGAACAAUCCUAGAAAAUCUAUAUAGACCACAUUACUUUGAAGUCCAUACAUCAGUAGGUAGGUAUGAAAGUGGCUUAUGUACCUAAAUAGUUUGCUUUUAUUUUCUUCUGAAGUUUAAGUUGUCUAGAUUCAGUUUGCAGGACUUUAGAAAGUACAGCUUAGUUUUCAAUUAUUUCGAAUUAGGAAAAAUGGGGUGAGGGGAAGGAAAAGAAGGAAAAAAAUUGAAAACAUUAUUUUGGAGACUUGUAGCCAGGAAAAAUUAGAAUUCAGUCUAAACUGUAGAAAAUAAUAAAAAUAGAAAAACAUUAGGCAAGACUAAAAUCUAACAACAGGUGCACUAUAGUUUUUGAAACGUAUUUUUUCUCUCUCCAGUUUCCCAUUUUCACUAAAAACAAAUCAUAGAAGAACCAAUUUGCUUUAUUAUACUUGGCCAGAUUAUUUGUAUGAAGUGAAGCAAGAAUAAUUAUUUUUCACAUAGGCUUUUAAAAUUAGCUUUGAUGGACUUCUUCCAUAGAAGGAAUCUCACAUAAGCCUUUUUUAAAGCCAAGCCCAGCCACAGAUUUGUACCAUCAAAUACCUAUGAGUUGGGUGAAUUAUUCUCCUUUUGAGUUCCAACAUAACUUAGGGCUCUUGGGCCUGUCAGAAAGUGACAUUCUUUACUUACCACAGGUCAGGAACACCGUUCAGGGACUGUGCAGACAAGGUAUGAGGCCAGUUUCCCCAAGGGGUUUUUAUUGGCUCUAUAAAUCAAGUUUAAUACCUUAAAGGAAAGCACACCAUUCCAGCCAAAGACUCAGUAAAAUAACCAGUUUCUCCAAUUGUGUCCUGUUACAAAUAAAAACAGAUUCUUAUUUCACUUAUGCAAAUAACUAUAUUGCCGUAAGUCACGAAUACUUACAAGUAGUUUCCAAAUUUUGGAGAAAUCAGGUAGAGAGAAACAAAUAAGCUCCAAAUUUCGUUCAUAGGAGUAUACUUGUUAAAAGCUGUCAAUAGCUCAAAAGAAAAGUUUCCUUGACUCUGAAAAACAAAACAAAGGAUCAGCAACGUUUUGUGCAAAAAGUCAAAAAGACUACUUCAGUCUUCUACUGGUUCAGUCCAUGCAGUUAAUUUCUGUUCUGCUUGAUAUUCGUGAACAUUUCAGCUCUCCGUAAGUCCUGAAAGUUUUUCCUCUUUUCUAAUGUCACAAUCUCCAAAGUUAUCAGAAAACUGCAUUCAAGAACACAUGUUAAGAGUUUUAUAGCUGAUUAUAAAACUACCUUCAAAAGAGGAACAAAACAAGACAACAAUUGUCCAUGGAUGACAAAAAAUUUUAGGGCAGCCAUAGUCAAAGACACAGUUGACAAGAAAAUUUGUUACCUCUGUGGCAUACAAUAAUUUAACAUAACAAUUAUAAUUACUGAUAACAUACACUAAGUCAUAUCAGAAUUUUAGGAGUUUCCUAUUAUUUUGGAACAGAUACCAAUAACACAUUUAUACAAAUACAGCCC
rnacentral:lncRNA from 1 species